GACGCAGGAAACCGGGUCAACCAAGCAUUAGACGAAGAUCGCUAAAUCGUGGCAUCACAUAUGUUGCGUGGCUCUGUGGGGUUCUAAGACCGGGAAUUACAGCACUGCGAAGUUUUUCAGGUUUCCGAAUGGACAGCAGUACUGCUUUGAUGCCCCGUACCAUAAUGAAUACGGCUGCUCUUCGAUACAACGCAUGUCGGCACUGUUCCGUUCCUGUUUUCGCAAAUCGUCAGAGCACACCGGAGUAUCUUUGAGUACGGUACCACGGGGUGUGCGUUCGAGCGAGAGCCAGGCACGGCUGUGGUCGUGCCCACAAUCUACCGACAAGUACUAUGAAGAUACAAGCUCUCCAAUGCUAAGAGUAGCCGGCAUCCACGGAGCCCGUCGAACGCGUGCAUGUAAGUCCAGAAGAAAAAGCUCGUCAUCGAAGUGCAGUUAGACUCUCCAGUUCUACGUCAAAUUGGGAAUGGUUCGCUGUCACCGUAGGACUGCCAUCAUUCAUGACACAAAGGUCCUGAUCCGAGGUGAACGACACCAUAUCCCUGCCUCUGGAAUUGAUUGCCGAGCUACCCCAAAGGCACGGCAGGAACGAAAAGGAUGGUGUUGGUCACAGGCCUUCGUUGUGGUCUUUCAUUCAUUGUGCUUGUGGAAGAAAAGGACCUGGUGUUACGUCUCUUCGCCUUGCGGCUCACAACAACUUCGACAUUAUCAUCGGAGGGCUCCUCGCUUCGCAGUGAGGAGAUACGGGCAUCCUCGCUGUCGGAAUCGCUGUGAGGGCCAGUCCGCUUACUUGACGCGACCACCACUGACGUCACCGAAUCUGGCAGACGUCCAAAGUGGUCCACGUCCAUCGCCGACGGACAAAGAAGCGACGCCUCAAAUGUACACG